CAAUCCGUCUCCCUUUUGUCUGGGCUUCGUUCUCAGGGAGUGUAUCCUUAGUCACAAUAAAAAUAGCCACCAGCAGGUUCAUGCACAUUUCCCACAACUCUGAUAGGGAAUGUCUCUUCCCCUUGUUUUCCACAAAGCUCCCUGGAAUGUUUGCCAUUGGCCUAGAUUGUGUCACAGGGCUCCCCAACCAGUCUCUCGGAUUAGUCUAGCCCGAUUCAUGUGUCUGCCCCUCUUGCAGCUGGGAGGUGAGUCAGCCCCACUUGAAAAACAAGAAAUGAACCUGUAGGUGGCACGUUUCCCCCAGAUGGCCAGACAGUUCCUUCACCAGAAGAAGGGGUGCUGAGCCAGGCCAGAACAGAUGAUAUAUUCUUCAGGCUCUCUCUUCCCUUUGUGUGGUGGGCCGGACACACCCAGAUGGAACCCUGUUGAACAAGAGUUACUUGUACAACGUCAGGGUUCCAAAUGGCUUGGAAGAGUAUCGCUCAAGCACAUCAUGGGUUUGCUGCAAGUGGAAAUCCAACCUGCAGAAUCAUAUUGGGAAAGCAUGUUUGCAGGUAGCAGCCGCCACUCCUGACUGGAGUUCAGAGGCAGGAGCUGGCCAAAAAAGGAAUCUGCAUGAGAUGUGGAAGGUGGAGGUGAGGGAGCAGUCACUACCCUCUGCAGGCUGUCGUGGUCAGAAGCGGUUACAGAGGGAUGGAUGCAGACGUGCCUGUGGGGUCCAGCCUGUCCAUACUCUCCUCUGCUCCUGACCUGCCUCUUCUUACCAGCUGAUGAUCCUGUUGACUGACAGUGGCCCCAACACUGCCACGUGCAUGGCUGUGAUCCACAUUCACAAAGCUGCUACCCAGAGGCACAGCUGCCCACUGGCCUCCCAUGAGCCUUGUCUUUGCCAUCUCAUUCUGAUGCUGGAUGUGUUUAGCUUCUCAGAUCGACUAAAUGGUGACCUCUUCUCUGAUCUCCAACUUUCCUCCUGGUCCUUCACUUCCCCAGGUCCUCCUACCAUGGUGUUAAGUUUCUUUCCUAUAAUAAAUUCCUUUUUCCAGAA